GGGCAGGUGUCAGAGUGGUCGAAUGAGCACGCUUGGAAAGCGUGUGUGCUGGAAACAGUACCGAGGGUUCGAAUCCCUCCCUGUCCGCCA
rnacentral:tRNA from 1 species